GAGGAGCUUGCUCCUCUGACGUUAGCGGCGGACGGGUGAGUAACACGUGGAUAACCUACCUAUAAGACUGGGAUAACUUCGGGAAACCGGAGCUAAUACCGGAUAAUAUAUUGAACCGCAUGGUUCAAUAGUGAAAGACGGUUUUGCUGUCACUUAUAGAUGGAUCCGCGCCGCAUUAGCUAGUUGGUAAGGUAACGGCUUACCAAGGCAACGAUGCGUAGCCGACCUGAGAGGGUGAUCGGCCACACUGGAACUGAGACACGGUCCAGACUCCUACGGGAGGCAGCAGUAGGGAAUCUUCCGCAAUGGGCGAAAGCCUGACGGAGCAACGCCGCGUGAGUGAUGAAGGUCUUCGGAUCGUAAAACUCUGUUAUUAGGGAAGAACAAAUGUGUAAGUAACUAUGCACGUCUUGACGGUACCUAAUCAGAAAGCCACGGCUAACUACGUGCCAGCAGCCGCGGUAAUACGUAGGUGGCAAGCGUUAUCCGGAAUUAUUGGGCGUAAAGCGCGCGUAGGCGGUUUUUUAAGUCUGAUGUGAAAGCCCACGGCUCAACCGUGGAGGGUCAUUGGAAACUGGAAAACUUGAGUGCAGAAGAGGAAAGUGGAAUUCCAUGUGUAGCGGUGAAAUGCGCAGAGAUAUGGAGGAACACCAGUGGCGAAGGCGACUUUCUGGUCUGUAACUGACGCUGAUGUGCGAAAGCGUGGGGAUCAAACAGGAUUAGAUACCCUGGUAGUCCACGCCGUAAACGAUGAGUGCUAAGUGUUAGGGGGUUUCCGCCCCUUUAGUGCUGCAGCUAACGCAUUAAGCACUCCGCCUGGGGAGUACGACCGCAAGGGUUGAAACUCA
rnacentral:rRNA from 1 species